GGCCAGGUAGUUCAGUGGUAGAACAUCGCCCUUCUGUGCAAAAAAAGCAAUGUUUUAAGAAACAUUACAAAAGGUAAUGCAACUAAACAACGCAAAAAUGCAAAGUAAAGGCGUGAGGUGGCCUGUUCGAAUCAGGCUCUGGCUG
rfam:Capronia semiimmersa strain CBS 27337 unplaced genomic scaffold supercont1.5, whole genome shotgun sequence.